CGGCCGGGGCGCCUUGCCAGCAGAGCAGCGGCGGGCGUAUCCUGCGGGACAGGAAAACAACUUUUCCGCGAAUUCCCACUGUCGUCUGUACUUCCCUGGGGCUAUUUUUGGAGCCAGUGUGAUGAAAUAUCUAGAAUUGUCAACACAGUGCUCGCACAGCGUCUCCAGCCCGCCCUGGCCCGUCCCCACGGGUCAGGGAACAGGCCCCUCUCCAAGGCAGAGGCUGUCUGUUCCGGAGGCUGAGAGUCCAGUCGGGUUCUGUGGGAGCCCUCUUCCGACGGCUGCCAUCUCGUCAUGUCCUCCUGUGGCAACUCUCUGGUCACCUCUCUGGUGGCUCUGUGAAGGCGCUCUUCCCAUCACAUGGCUCCCGUGCUCCUGACCUCAGAGGUUUGGUGUUGCCCAGGUUACAGAUGAGGAAUCCAAGACACGGUGGGCGAGGCUUCUUGGUCACCAACGAGAGAGCAGAGCUGGACUCAGACUGGGUGACGUGCAUGGCCUUUACGCCAUGCCGGUGACGGCUGCCAGGUUUGGGGGCAGGGAUGUGGAGCUGCCCUCAGUGGGUGCCAUCGCAGGCAGGGGCGAGGUUAAGCCCACAUGUCUGGCCCCAGCUGGUGUGGCUCGGUGGGCUGAGCACAGGCCUGUGAACCGAAGGGUCGUUAGUUCGGUUCCCAGUUGGGGUACAUGACUGGGUUGCAGACCAGGUCCCCCAUAGGGGGUGUGAGAGAGGCGACCACACACUGAUGUUUCUCUCCCUCUCUUUCUCCCUCCCUUCCCUCUCUCUGAAAGUAA